UUUUUUCAAGGUGUUUUCCAAGCAAUUAAAAGGUUCAAUGUAAACAAGUCAAUUAAUCCUAAUUGAAAAUCUAAGCAUGUUAAUAUCUGAUUUUUAUGUCAAAAUGUAUUAACUAUAAUUAACAAAAAUAUAUAAAAAGAAUGGCAAAAAUAAAAUAACAAAAAAAAUGAAACAAAGCAUAAAACAGGGAGGGGGUUUGAGCUGGAAAAUAUGGUGUAGAAACCAACUAGGGCGCAAGGCUCAAUGUGGCUUUCAACUUGGAAUCAGAAGAUACAUGAGCAAUUAACGGGUCUGGGAUGGAAUGUGAGCCAAAUUUCAUAUGAGAGAAAAGUUCAAGAGCUACGUGUUCAUGCUGUCAUCUGAAACUCACGUGUUUCACAUGCCUAAGUGUCCAGUUCAAAAGAAAUCACCGGCGGCGGCGGAGCCUAAACGACUAAAACAUUAUACCAAACUUUUCAUUUUAAUACCCUGAGUACUAGUCCAUGAUCAAUUUUCCAAAAUUCUUUAUCAAUUAAACAAACACGGUCGAUUCACAUAAGAACCCUAACUAGAAAUUUUAAAAAUUAAACUCCAAUCAUCUGGAAUCAAAGCCCUAGGGGUUGAGGCUUUGAUUCCCCAAUCUUAUACCUACAUUCUGGUAACUAACUCGGUGCAAAUGGAGGGAAAAACUUGAAAACUCACCGGCGGAGAAGAUGCGGAGGGAAACAAUAUUCAGGUAAAUCUCUUAUGAAUCUUUUUUUGCUCUUCGAAUCUGAUUACUCCUUAUCUACUUCUUCUUCAACCUUUUUCUUCUUCUACUGCGUGUACGUGAGACUGAGGCUUUUGAAUAGUGACGAGAGAAUUGAGAUUGGAGAGUGAUAGUGAUAAGAAAGUGAUUCUAAUUGGAGGGUGAAGUGUGUAAAUUUGUGUGAUUUGAAGGAUUGAAUGAAUCUGGGAAAUUUCCGAAUCUUCAUGAAUGAAGAGUGAAGUGAGGGAUUUAUAGGAGGGAAAAGUUAACAAAAGUUAACUCAGUUAGAUUUUUUUCAAACAAAACAGUUAGGUCUUAAUUAACUCUGAGAAUUAGUUAGAGAUGAAAUUGGAGAAAAAAAGUUUGUUAUGGAAGUUAGUGUUAGAUUCGAUUUCUAUUAGGUAUGUUAUGAAUUGGAUGAAAUUCGAUUUUUACUGUUAGUCUUGCAGUUAAAUGUUAAAUUCUUUUAUAGUUAGUUGUUAAUGAGCUGUUAAAUUAGAACCUAGUUAUCAAGUGUUAAUUUAUGUUAUGGUUAGUUGCUAAUUGGUUAAUGAGAGCUUUGGAUCAUGUUAGUUGCAAGUUGUUGAUGUAAAAUUAAGGAGUUAGUUGGAUGAAUGUUAAUUAUCGGGUUUUGGACUAAGCCUGCAAACUGCUUGUUAUAUCUUUGGUUCAAUUAACUGAAAAUGUUAAAAAAUACCAUGUAUGUUAGUUUCUUUGUUGUACCAACUUACCCAAUUCCUGCUAUAUGAAAAAAAAGAUGUUAAUUAUGUUAGUAGGCCUGCUUGGUUUUUGUUCAGUUAGUAAUGCUAGGUUGUGAAGAAUUUCCCUAUUCCUGUUAAUGUAUAUGCUGCUGCUAUUGUUGUAUUGUUACUUGCAAUGAAUGGUUGUUUAACUGCAUUGGUGAUUAGGUUAGUUUUGUUAUGGAUAAUGCGUUGAAAUCAUGCCAUGGCUUCUAGCUAGUUAUUUGUUGGUGAAUGGAUUUAUAUGAUGUUAACUCUGAAUGCAUUUAUGUUAGAAUGUAGUAGUCAUGUUCUGGCCUGCUAUGCAUGAUACUAAUGAUGCUUGGCAAUUGAUUGAAUGCACAUGCUUGAUUAUUGGUUUGACAUGGUUAGUAUGUGAAUGAUGUAAUGGAAUGUUAGCUUGAAAUUAGAUGAAUGACCCUUCUAUAAUGUGUUGUUGUGAACUAAAUAUGUUAGAUGAUGAAUGAUAUGCUUCUGGAAUGUUGCUGACAAAUGAAUGUAUUUUGGAUACAUCUUGUUGCUAAUACAUUGCCAUGUCUGCUAAGUGAAAUAGUGCUUUCCAUGCAUGCUUGUAAUUGUCACCUUAUGCUCAUGAUGUGAAUUGUACUUGAAUGCCUUAUUGUCUUAUUGUAUUAUAUGUUACUUGGGAAACCAAAUCAUGCCAUGGCUGCUAAUUCAAUGUUUGAUGAUUAUAAUGAUAGGGCUAGUUUGAGUGGAGUGCAAGCCUUGGUGCUUGGAAUCAAGAUGUUUGGAAUGCACAUGAAGAAAAAAAAAGCUUACUUACAAGUGAAGUUAUGCCAUGAAGUUGAAAGAAAAGCACGAGGAAACCAAAUGGAAACUAGGAAUUAGGUUUGAUGAUUAGAUGAGUUGAUUUGGUCAACUGGGUGACCAAAAAGUCAACAGUUGACCAAGUCAAUUAUAGGUAAAAAUUCAGUUUUUGUAAUUUCUUUGUAUGAACAUUAUAUGGACAUUGUAACAUGAUAUGUGUGAAUGUAAUUAAAGUUCUAUUUGAAUGUAAUUAAAGUUUUAUUUGAAUGAGAAAAGCUCUUAUGACUAAUACAAUAUGUUUUAAUUCAAAUUAUCAUUUUCCCCUCCAAAUGUCAUGUUUAAAAAUCAACUUGACACAAAGAUCUUAAAUGCAUCCUA
rnacentral:lncRNA from 1 species